rnacentral:sRNA from 1 species
GGUGAUGAAUUUGAAAUGCACUGACCUGGGCCUUCUGUCAAUCAGCUCCCUGCCAUGGAGACCUGACAGAGUCUCAUUCAUGACUGCCACAACAGAGACACUGAGAAAAAGAUGCAACCAUGAAAAGGUGGCAAGUUCUAACGACAUAGAAAAUAGCAAUCAGCCUUUCUUAUAUCUGAAAGCCUUCCAAAAUAUCUGAGUGCAGUAGAGAAUUGACAGAGGACUGAUCACCAUCCUAGAAACAUGGUGAGAGGGAAAAAAAAACUGCAAGAAUAUAAUCAUCUCCCAUCAAUUGUCCAAGAGAAAUAACGUAGUCCUUGAAGAAACAAUUAUAGAGUACCUCAUGCUACAUGCCUGUUCCUGACGCUCCCCCAUGUAAAAUAACAUCAUCUUCAUUCCUUCUUUUCUUUUCUUUCCAUGACAGCUCCUCCAGGAAUAGGACGUCUUCCUCUCCUUAAUCCAAUAUAGCAGCCGUGAUGUCAUUUCUGUAUUUCAGGAAGACUGGCAGGAGAUUUAUGGAAAAGACUCUGACAAGGACUCUUGAAUACAAGCUCCGGAUAACUUCAAGAUCAUACCACUGGACUAAGGGCUUUCAAAAUUUUAAUGAACAGGCUGAUACCUUCAUGAAAUUCAAGACAAAGAAGAAAAAAACUCAAUGUUAUUGGACUAAAUAAUCAAAAGCAUAAUGUUUUCAUAAUUUUCUAUUUGAAAAUGUGCUGAUUCUUUGAAUGUUUUAUUCUCCAGAUUUAUGAACUUUUUUUCUUCAGCAAUUGGUAAAGUAUACUUUUGUAAACAAAAAUUGAAACAUUUGCUUUUGUUCUCUGAGUGCCCCAGAAUUGGGAAACUAUUCAUGAGUAUUCAUAUGUUU